AAUCAACGCUGGCGGCGUGCCUCAGACAUGCAAGUCGUACGAUUAAAGCUCUCUUCGGAGAGUGUAUAGAGUGGCGCACGGGUGAGUAACACGUAAGUAAUCUACCUUCGAGUGGGGAAUAACAGUCGGAAACGACUGCUAAUACCGCAUAAUGCAGCGGCACCUAAUGGUGACAGUUGUUAAAGCAUUUAUGUGCUUGAAGAGGAGCUUGCGGCAGAUUAGCUAGUUGGUAAGGUAAUGGCUUACCAAGGCGACGAUCUGUAGCCGACCUGAGAGGGUGGUCGGUCACACUGACACUGAAUAACGGGUCAGACUCCUACGGGAGGCAGCAGUCGGGAAUUUUGGGCAAUGGGCGAAAGCCUGACCCAGCAACGCCGCGUGAAGGAUGAAGUAUUUC
rnacentral:rRNA from 1 species